rnacentral:piRNA from 1 species
ACGGAGGGAACCCUGGCUGGUAGU